rnacentral:rRNA from 1 species
UACGUAGGGUCCAAGCGUUAUCCGGAAUCCACUGGGCGUAAAGCGUGCGCAGGCGGUUGUGCAAGACAGAUGUGAAAUCCCCCGGGCUCAACCUGGGAAUUGCAUUUGUGACUGCACGGCUAGAGUGUGUCAGAGGGGGGUAGAAUUCCACGUGUGAGCAGUGAAAUGCGUAGAGAUGUGGAGGAAUACCGAUGGCGAAGGCAGCCCCCUGGGAUAACACGUGACGCUCAUGCACGAAAGCGUGGGGAGCAAACAGG